rnacentral:rRNA from 1 species
AUUGAACGCUGGCGGCAGGCCUAACACAUGCAAGUCGAGCGGAGCGGCGGACGGGCGAGUAAUGCCUAGGAAUCUGCCUGGUAGUGGGGGAUAAAGUCCGGAAACGGGCGCUAACACCGAACACAAUCAGAUAAGUCUAGGUCGGAUUAGCUAGUUGGUGGGGUAAGGGCCUACAAAGGCGACGAUCCGUAACUGGUCUGUGAGGAUGAUCAGUCACACGGGAACUGAGACACGGUCCAGACUCCUACGGGAGGCAGCAGUGGGGAAUAUUGGACAAUGGGCGAAAGCCUGAUCCAGCCAUGCCGCGUGUGUGAAGAAGGUCUUCGGAUUGUAAAGCACUUUAAGUUGGGAGGCGUUACCAGCAGAAUAAGCACCGGCUAACUUCGUGCCAGCAGCCGCGGUAAUAC